CAAACGGCCUUUAAUGUAUGAUUCUAUAAGUGCUCUCUUUAAAUUUGACUAAUUGCUGGGAACUCCUAAUAAUUAGGUAAAUCAGCAGGAAACUUAUUGAUAUAUUUGUUUUAAUCAAGUAUUAUCUGUAGUAUCUUCAGAGACUAUAUGUCAAAAGCUAAUAGAUUAUAAUGUAGUUAAACUAUUAGUUAAAAUAUAGUCCGAUCAAGAUAGUAAUAUCUUU
rnacentral:ncRNA from 1 species